CAGCACCUCAAGUGGUCAGGAUGAUUAUUGGGCCUAAAGCAUCCGUAGCCGGCGCUGUAAGUUUUCGGUUAAAUCUGUACGCUCAACGUACAGGCUGCCGGGAAUACUGCAGCGCUAGGGAGUGGGAGAGGUAGACGGUACUCGGUAGGAAGGGGUAAAAUCCUUUGAUCUAUUGAUGACCAACUGUGGCGAAGGCGGUCUACCAGAACACGUCCGACGGUGAGGGAUGAAAGCUGGGGGAGCAAACCGGAUUAGAGACCCGAGUAGUCC
rnacentral:rRNA from 1 species